rnacentral:rRNA from 1 species
GAAAUGCUUAGAUAUCACGANGAACUCCGAUUGCGAAGGCAGCUUGCUGGACUGUAACUGACGCUGAGGCACGAAAGCGUGGGGAUCAAACAGGAUUAGAUACCNUGGUANNNACGCCGUAAACGAUGAAUGCUAGCUGUUAGCGAUAUACUGUUAGCGGCACAGAGAAAUCGUUAAGCAUUCCACCUGGGGAGUACGCCGGCAACGGUGAAACUCAAAGGAAUUGACGGGGGCCCGCACAAGCGGAGGAACAUGUGGUUUAAUUCGAUGAUACGCGAGGAACCUUACCUGGGCUUAAAUUGCAGUGGAAUAACGUGGAAACAUGUUAGCCUUCGGGCCGCUGUGAAGGUGCUGCAUGGUUGUCGUCAGCUCGUGCCGUGAGGUGUCGGCUUAAGUGCCAUAACGAGCGCAACCCUCAUCGAUAGUUACUAACAGGUUAAGCUGAGGACUCUAUCGAGACUGCCGACGUAAGUCGUGAGGAAGGUGGGGAUGACGUCAAAUCAGCACGGCCCUUACGUCCAGGGCUACACACGUGUUACAAUGGGGGGUACAAAGGGCAGCUACCUGGCGACAGGAUGCUAAUCUCUAAAACCUCUCUCAGUUCGGAUUGGAGUCUGCAACCCGACUCCAUGAAGCUGGAUUCGCUAGUAAUCGCGCAUCAGCCACGGCGCGGUGAAUACGUUCCCGGGCCUUGUACACACCGCCCGUCAAGCCAUGGGAGCCGGGGGGACCUGAAGUAUGCAACCGUAAGGAGCGUCCUAGGGUAAAACUGGUGACUGGGGCU